UACGUAUGGUGCAAGCGUUAUCCGGAAUUAUUGGGCGUAAAGAGGGAGCAGGCGGCAGCAAAGGUCUGUGGUGAAAGACUGAAGCUUAACUUCAGUAAGCCAUAGAAACCGGGCAGCUAGAGUGCAGGAGAGGAUCGUGGAAUUCCAUGUGUAGCGGUGAAAUGCGUAGAUAUAUGGAGGAACACCAGUGGCGAAGGCGACGAUCUGGCCUGCAACUGACGCUCAGUCCCGAAAGCGUGGGGAGCAAAUAGG
rnacentral:rRNA from 1 species